rnacentral:sRNA from 1 species
AUUAACACAGAUUUGUAGAUUUGGGAAAUACGGGGGCUGUUGGAUGUCAUUUACCUUUAGGCUGAAAUUACUGUCUUUCAGAGUUGUGGCUUAUCCUCAUUUCUUUUUUAUUUUUAAUUGAUUGUCUACAGUUAUGGCUGCAGCUUCGAUUGCCAAUAUUGUAAAAAGUUCUCUUGGUCCAGUUGGCUUGGAUAAAAUGUUGGUGGAUGAUAUUGGUGUAAGUACACAUAACUGUUGUGUUAGUUUCCUUAAAGUAAAACUAUCUUCAGUGUUUUGCUAUGUUCUUUCUUUGACUUUAUCAGAAUCCACGUACUGGAAGGUGAUAUUAAAGGUGAACGUGUAUUAUAAUGGGGCUGUGUUGAUUUCUAUAAGUGGUUCAUAUUUUUUCCUGCGAAUUUCUUAGGAUGUAACCAUUACUAACGAUGGUGCAACCAUCCUGAAGUUACUGGAGGUAGAACAUCCUGCAGCUAAAGUUCUUUGUGAGCUGGCUGAUCUGCAAGACAAAGAAGUUGGAGAUGGAACUACUUCAGUGGUUAUUAUUGCAGCAGAACUCCUAAAAAAUGCAGAUGAAUUAGUCAAACAGAAAAUUCAUCCCACAUCAGUUAUUAGUGGCUAUCGACUUGCUUGCAAGGAAGCAGUGCGUUAUAUCAAUGAAAACCUAAUUGUUAACACAGAUGAACUGGGAAGAGAUUGCCUGAUUAAUGCUGCU